CGCAGGGAGGCGGCGCCUACGUACGUAUGGCGACGACCAGGGCACACGUACGCUUAUAUAAUGUCACGCCCGGAAAUUCACUAGUAAUUUCCGAACUUAUUAGUGCAUAAAAUCCUCGUCCAGAAAUCAGCCGAGGUAUACAAACUGACAAUUUAAUAUACAAAUCCAUCAUAAUAAUAACGUUACACACUUACAAAAGAAAAGAAAACAGCAGCGGAAUAACGGUCUAGCGAUAGCUUCAGCUCCACUCCCACAGGCAGCUCAACUGGGGUAUAAGUCAAACGUCUUCUCCUUCUGGAUCCUUUUUCUUCAACUGAGGUUGAUUGAUUAUUGCAAGAAUGAGUAUAAGCCAAACGUCUUCUCCUUCUGGAUCCUUUUUCUUCAACUGAGGUUGAUUGAUUAUUGCAAGAAUGAGCAUAUGACAUACUCAACAAGCUACACAGCAAAUAUGCAAGUGCACAAGGAUACCAAAGGAUGGCAUAAUAUAGGCUCAUUUGCAAAAGCAGCAUUUAGCAAAACAUUUAAGAGAAGUAAAACAGUGGAGUAAUUAAUCAGAAAUUUUAAUCAACACUGAACAACACACCCAUGCUACACAGGCCCAACCAUCCUGAACAACCAUACCCGGCUGUACAGAUCUAACUCCAAACCAGGAGCUAAGCAAAUUAUUACCAGGUAUAACAUCCAUAAUAAUUGUGAGAGGUGUGAGACUAAUCACGAAAAACAUUGCUCAACCCGCCCAUAACCGCGGGUACGGCUAUUCGAAUAGUUUUACUCUGGCCAGAGGUGUACCACUGUACCCACAAGACACAGCCUCAACAUCAUGUCUACCAUGCGUCGCGAUACUGGAAAGUACCCGAAUAGAGGCUGUAACAAUACCCUCUGCACAACACAACUCACCACAGUGCACCAUUCCUGGAUCAUAAUUACCCCCUUAUAAAACAGGGCAUGGACUCCCCAGCGACCCCCGUGGGCUUAUCUCCGCCACUUCUCAGUCUGGUGCUCCGCAAUGAACUAUGCUAUACAAAAGGUAAAGCCGUUGCCCACGCUGGCUUGUGGUUGGCACGGUUAAUGUUUCACAACAGUAGCUCGCGAACCGGUCCUUCAUUGCCAUGAGCACGACCUUCAAAACCAUGUGCUUACAACCCACCAUUAAUCAUAUUUUAAUUACCAAUUAAUUAUCAUAACACGAUUAACCAUCGUGAGCUACCAUUAAAUAUAACCAUAAAUAAUAAUGUAGUAUAUAUGAUUCAUCCCAUUAGUGAGCUAAUGUUUCUAAGCAUGGCUAAGCAAUUAUAUCUAACAUCUAGUUGAACCAAUAUAUAUAAAGCUCAACUAGUCAAAUUAUAAUAUCCCAAGGUAUCAAGGAAUAGAGUAAUCAAUGCAAACAGGCCAUAACAAAGGAAUAGAUUCACACCACCCAGUGACAUUCGAAAAUAAAUGCACAGUUGAAAUAAAUAGAGAAUUUAAAUAUAGGAUCAACAUGCUCAAAGGAUUGUGUUUAGGAUCUGUGUGACUUGCCUUGCAAUAAUCGGUCUUCAAUUAAUCUUCUUGAAUACUUCCGGCGCACUCACGAACCUUCGCAACGACGGAAACGACAGGCUAACACGCAAAACCAAGAAAAAGACUAAUAAAAACCAAAUAAACAGUAAAAAACAAGCAUAAACAGUACAUAUAAAGUAAACAAACAUGUAGAUCAUGAUUUUGAUUUUAGAUGAAUUUAGCAACUUGAACCACUCAAAACCGAGUUACGAUGAUUUAGUUAUGAAUUUCCGAAGAUUUAAUCUAUUAGAAAAACAGGAAAAAGAAAAACGAUGAUGACGUCAUGAUGACCUCAUCAAUGGCCGGACCAAGAUGGCGACCUCGCCGGAGAUUGGAUGGUCGGAUGCGACUUUGGAGGACAUGUACACGUAGAGGACGACGAGACGAACCCAACGGUACUCACCCUCGAACCAAACGACGAACAACGACGGCCGGCGACGAGGUCUAGCGGCGGCGCGGCUUCGGUCGACGGCGGCGACGGGGCUCCGGUGACCGGCG
rnacentral:lncRNA from 1 species